UCAUUGUUAGUUACUACCAUUCAGUUGAGGACUCUAAUGAGACUGCCAACGGAUAAAGUUGGAGGAAAGGUGGGGAUGACGUCAAAUCAUCAUGCCCUUUAUGACCUGGGCUACAAACGUACUACAAUGGCCGGUACAAAGAGAUGCGAAGUGGCGACAUGGAGCGAACCUCAGAAAGCCGGUCUCAGUUCGGAUUGCAGGCUGCAAUUCGCCUGCAUGAAGUCGGAAUCGCUAGUAAUCGCAGGUCAGCAUACUGCGGUGAAUACGUUCCCGGGCCUU
rnacentral:rRNA from 1 species